GCGCCUGUAGCUCAGCUGGAUAGAGCGCUGCCCUCCGGAGGCAGAGGCCAGGGGUUCGAAUCCCUUCAGGCGCGCCA
rnacentral:tRNA from 1 species